ACCAAGAAAUAAAAAAGGGGAAAGCAAUGAAAUGAAGUGAAGUAAACAAGUUCGUAUGCAUCUACUAAUUUUACCUCCUUUUGCGAAUGGCAUGCUUUGUUUUCAUUUCUC
rnacentral:ribozyme from 1 species